rnacentral:rRNA from 1 species
UUAAAUUGAAGAGUUUGAUCAUGGCUCAGAUUGAACGCUGGCGGCAGGCCUAACACAUGCAAGUCGAGCGGAAACGAGUUAUCAGAACCUUCGGGGGAC